rnacentral:rRNA from 1 species
UGGGGAAUAUUGCACAAUGGGCGCAAGCCUGAUGCAGCCAUGCCGCGUGUGUGAAGAAGGCCUUCGGGUUGUAAAGCACUUUCAGCGGGGAGGAAGGCGAUAAGGUUAAUAACCUUGUCGAUUGACGUUACCCGCAGAAGAAGCACCGGCUAACUCCGUGCCAGCAGCCGCGGUAAUACGGAGGGUGCAAGCGUUAAUCGGAAUUACUGGGCGUAAAGCGCACGCAGGCGGUCUGUAAAGUCGGAUGUGAAAUCCCCGGGCUCAACCUGGGAACUGCAUCUGAUACUGGCAAGCUUGAGUCUCGUAGAGGGGGGUAGAAUUCCAGGUGUAGCGGUGAAAUGCGUAGAGAUCUGGAGGAAUACCGGUGGCGAAGGCGGCCCCCUGGACGAAGACUGACGCUCAGGUGCGAAAGCGUGGGGAGCAAACAGG